ACCGAGCUGGCAAGCUCCGAGCUCUAGUGGCAGAAGAUGACCUUGAGCUCGCGCGGCGCGGCGCACUCGUGGGUGAGCGAGGGGCUGUCGUGCGCGUAGGUGAAGGCCUGCGGGCACUCGCGCUUGAAGAACUCCGAGUACUUGGACGCGCGGCAGGUGCGCGGGCUGUUGUACAUGUUGCGGCAGCACAGCUCGUCGGUGCGGAACGCCUCGCAGCCGCUCUUGCACGCGAGGACGCUCCCCGCCGGGGACCGCAGCUGCAGCUCGCCGGGGCAGGUCUCGGUGAGGUUCCUGCGGCAGGCCAGGACGGGGCAGUUGCCCCGGCCCUCGUGCGGGGUCACGGACAGGCCCACGUUGAAGCCGUCCACCACGCUCACCCCGUACGAGGUCUGGUCGUUGCCGUGGUGGAG
rnacentral:lncRNA from 1 species